CUGCUGGAGUCCGGGGGGGACCUCCAGCCCCCCGGGGGGUCCCUGCGCCUCCUCUGCCGAGGGUCCGGCUUCGAUUUUUGGAGCUACGACAUGGACUGGGUUCGACAGAGACCCGGGCAGGGGCUGGAACUCAUCGCAUGGAUCAGGAACGAUGGUGGCAGCACCUGGUACGCGCCAUCGUUGAAGGGCCGGGUGACGAUCUCCAGGGACAACGGGCAGAGCUCGGUGACGCUGACCAUGAACAGCCUCAAGGACGAGGAUUCCGGAUCCUAUUUCUGUGCCAGAGCUUUUUGUGCCGG